rnacentral:rRNA from 1 species
UACGAAGGGUGCUAGCGUUGUUCGGAAUUACUGGGCGUAAAGGGCGCGUAGGCGGCGUGUCAAGUCAGGCGUGAAAGCCCCGGGCUCAACCUGGGAACCGCGCUUGAGACUGGCAUGCUCGAGUGCGGGAGAGGAUGGUGGAAUUCCCAGUGUAGAGGUGAAAUUCGUAGAUAUUGGGAAGAACACCGAUGGCGAAGGCAGCCAUCUGGACCGACACUGACGCUGAGGCGCGAAAGCGUGGGGAGCAAACAGG